GAUGGUUACCGCCUGGUGCUGUGGCUUUGUAUACAACUGUUUUUAUUGUUUUGUCCGCUGGGGUGAUGCGUAUAUCUGGGGGGUUUGCCAUGGGUUGAGGCUCUUGCGUUGUCUUCGGCUUGGGGCCAUGCGAUGGGUUGGCGAGCGCCCCUUCUGGGUCCUUUGCUUCAUCUUCGCUCUUCCACCCAGCCAGUGUGUCAUCAAUGUGCCUUGCAUGGGGUUUGAUGGAGGGUCUGAGUCUGUCUACAGUUUGAGAUUCCAGCUGCCUUAUUACGAUCUCUGCUAAAGGGCCCGUCAUUGGGCUGCUGAUCGGUAUACCUAGGGUUUGCCUGUAAUAAAUUCCCCUGUAUGCAAAAUACGAAUUAUGGCAUAUCAUUGAUAUUAUUUCUCUGAAGUAUUGGGCGUUGUCUGGUGCCUGCAGAACAUUAGCCAAUAAAAACCUGUAUAGUGCCAUAGUUACUGGUUUGAUCUUGAGGGAUGGAUACAGGUUUUUGAAAUCGUACGUCAUAAAGAUGUUAUCUGCAUCCCAGUCAGUUUCCCUUAGUUUUUUUAUGACUUCCUCUGCUGAGUUCACCGUGAGAUUACUUGUUCCUAGUACUUUCAUUGCC
rnacentral:lncRNA from 1 species